rnacentral:rRNA from 1 species
UACAAGGGGGGCAAGCGUUGUUCGGAAUUACUGGGCGUAAAGGGCUCGUAGGCGGCCAACUAAGUCACACGUGAAAUCCCCAGGCUUAACCUGGGAACUGCGUGUGAUACUGGAUGGCUUGAAUCCGGGAGAGGGAUGCGGAAUUCCAGGUGUAGCGGUGAAAUGCGUAGAUAUCUGGAGGAACACCGGUGGCGAAGGCGGCAUCCUGGACCGGUAUUGACGCUGAUGAGCGAAAGCCAGGGGAGCAAACGGG